rnacentral:rRNA from 1 species
AUACGGAGGUCCCAAGCGUUGUUCGGAUUUACUGGGCGUAAAGGGUGCGUAGGUGGCCAGGAAAGUUUGAUGUGAAAGCUCCGAGCUCAACUCGGAAAAUGCAUUGAAUACUACUUGGCUUGAGGAUCGGAGGGGAGACUGGAAUUCUCGGUGUAGCAGUGAAAUGCGUAGAUAUCGGAAGGAACACCAGUGGCGAAGGCGACUCCCUGGAUUGAUACUGACACUGAGGUGCGAAAGCGUGGGGAGCAAACAGGAUCAGAUACCCUGGUAGUCCACGCCGUAAACGAUGUCAACUAGCCGUUGGGACACUUGAUGUCUUAGUGGCGCAGCUAACGCGAUAAGUUGACCGCCUGGGGAGUACGGUCGCAAGAUUAAACUCAAAGGAAUUGACGGGGACCCGCACAAGCAGUGGAGCAUGUGGUUUAAUUCGACGCAACGCGCAGAACCUUACCAGCGUUUGACAUGGAAAGUACCGGUUACAGAAUGGUAACCUUC